UAGUAACGGCGAGUGAAGCGGCAACAGCUCAAAUUUGAAAUCUGGCGCAAGCCCGAGUUGUAAUUUGUAGAGGAUGCUUCUGGGUAGCGGCCGGUCUAAGUUCCUUGGAACAGGACGUCAUAGAGGGUGAGAAUCCCGUAUGUGACUGGCUUGCACCCUCCACGUAGCUCCUUCGACGAGUCGAGUUGUUUGGGAAUGCAGCUCUAAAUGGGAGGUAAAUUUCUUCUAAAGCUAAAUACCGGCCAGAGACCGAUAGCGCACAAGUAGAGUGAUCGAAAGAUGAAAAGCACUUUGGAAAGAGAGUUAAAAAGCACGUGAAAUUGUUGAAAGGGAAGCGCCCGCAACCAGACUUUGCGGCAGUGUUCGGCCGGUCUUCUGACCGGUUUACUCGCUGUCGUGAGGCCAUCAUCGUCUGGGACCGCUGGAUAAGACCUUAGGAAUGUAGCUCCCCUCGGGGAGUGUUAUAGCCUCUGGUGAUGCAGCGCGUCUCGGGCGAGGUCCGCGCUUCGGCAAGGAUGAUGGCGUAAUGGUUGUCGGCGGCCCGUCUUGAAACACGGACCAAGGAGUCUAACAUCUAUGCGAGUGUUCGGGUGUCAAACCCCUACGCGUAAUGAAAGUGAACGGAGGUGGGAACUUUUUGUGCACCAUCGACCGAUCCUGAUGUCCUCGGAUGGAUUUGAGUAAGAGCAUAGCUGUUGGGACCCGAAAGAUGGUGAACUAUGCCUGAAUAGGGUGAAGCCAGAGGAAACUCUGGUGGAGGCUCGCAGCGGUUCUGACGUGCAAAUCGAUCGUCAAAUUUGGGUAUA
rnacentral:rRNA from 1 species